rnacentral:lncRNA from 1 species
GGACACAAAAGGGUUUUUUUGGGGCUUUUUGGUAAAAUACAAGUCUUUUUGGCUUUUCUGAAUUUUUUGGCUUUUUCAUGAAUUUUUGGUUUUUUUGGAUUUUUGGCAUUUUUUUGGAAAAUAAAAUAUUUUUUAAUAUUUUUCAAAAUAUUCUUGGAAAAUAAACUAUUUUUGAUUUUUCUCGAUUUUUUAGAAAAUAAAACAUUUUUCG